rnacentral:rRNA from 1 species
CGACGGGAGAAAGGGAGGGUAGUGCCAAAAAUUCUGGCUAAAUUAGGUCUUGUUCCCCCUUUCCUCAAUCCUUCGCCGCCGCCAGAGAAAAUCCCCCUCUCUCUCCCCAAUCUUCCUCUCCCACAUCACCAUGGCCCGCCGCGCGCCACCACCCCGCCGUGCCCCUACCGGCCCUGCUCCACCGCGCCCUACCAGCCCUGCUCCGCCGCGUCGCCUCUUCUUCCCCUUCUCUACCACAUCGGUGACCCAAUCGGACCAUCCGGCGGUGGGCACGAUGUCCUCACGCGGAUCUGACUGCCGCCACUGUCGCCGCCUCCAUGCCACCUCGAGCUGCUCCUUGAUGCAGUUGUCCCCGACGAGCACCACCCCCACACGACUGUCGCUGACGAGCUACUCCCCGACGGCCACAUCCUCUCCUACACCGCGGGUACUACGGCGAUGACAAGGGCAUCCACUUACCUGCUAGAUCAAGAUCGCGUCCACCACCUUGACUUCACUCCGAAGGUUCUCUCCCUGUCUUUUGCUCUCUUGUUUAGGUAGUUGUAUAUGCUCUAAUGUGUUCGGUGUUCAGAUCUCACAAGCGAUGCUCAUCUUUGUGAUUUGCUUGUUAAGAAAUUAUACUGCUUCUUUCGGCUAGCUUGCCGUUGUUGCAGAAUAUCAGUUUGCCCUUUGCAACAUCCGCUCCUGCAGGUCUACUAGGUACCAAGGAAUGUUUAAAGACUACAUUGGUGUUUUCUAGCUUGGAGAAGCAACAUCAACUUGGGAUGCAGAUUCACCACUAUAUGUGCAUGCAUCUCAUAGGGGGAGAGAUCUUGUAUGGAUGUAAGACCAUUUUUCUUCUGUUAUAGAUUCUAGAGUGAUGCUCUGCUUAAAUUCGUAUCCAUGCAUAAAGUCAACAUCCAAUGAAAUAUGAGCAAAUUAUUUUAUCUCUAUUACUGUAAUUGUGAGCUAUGACAACCAUAUAAAUAGAUUUAGUAUAUUUUGAUUGCAUAGUUUCUUUUCUGCUAUUUGAAAUAUGAAUGUGUAUCUUUAAUCAUGACUGAAUAUGCAUUUUUAAGCAUGACUAGAACUGCGCUGAACAUGCAUGCUUAAUCGUGUAUUUUUUUCUGCAGCUAAAAUUCAGCUGAAGCUUUACAGAACUAGGGGAACACUAAUCCAUAGAGCUAUCAUUUCCUUUGCUUUGUUUUUCCUGUAGAAUAGAUUAAGCAUAAUCUGAGUGGUGUAUAUGCAACACAUUUCUUAAUGGCCAUGCAUGCAAUUAUAAUCUAUUUCUGUCAAGACUGGAAACCUCGAGACGGUGAUCAAAGAUUUGGUUGAAGGAAUCAGCAAACAGAUGUUUUAGAGCAUCAUGUUGUGAGCUCUGAUGUUCCUCUCAAGACUUGGAUGGGCAACCUGAUGCAAGUUCUCAAGGGAUAUUUGGAGCAUGUACUUCUCAAGGCGAUGUGAUGCAUGUGUAGUUAAUUAACAGGUUGAUUGGAAGUGUUUUGAUCUAGCAACACUAGCUGAUAUGUGGUCUUGUCUAUAGCAAAUUCUAGAUUCAAAUUGCAGUGCUUAGACCAUUUUGCAACUUAAUCUAGCUUUUUUGGAUCGACGGGUGGUAUGAAUAUGUUGUAUGAUAAUGAAUAUUCAGUCAUCCAUGAAUUAUUUGAAUUAUAGCCGAUAUAUAUAUAUCCAAAUUUGGUGUAUUGUUGCU